rnacentral:rRNA from 1 species
CCUACGGGAGGCAGCAGUGGGGGAUAUUGCACAAUGGGGGAAACCCUGAUGCAGCGACGCCGCGUGGGCGAAGAAGUAUUUCGGUAUGUAAAGCCCUAUCAGCAGGGAAGAAGAAAUGACGGUACCUGAGUAAGAAGCACCGGCUAAAUACGGGCCAGCAGCCCCGGUAAACAGUAUGGUGCAAGCGUUAUCCGGAAUUACUGGGGGUAAAGGGAGCGCAGGAGGCAAGGCAAGUCUGGUGUGAAAGCCCGCGGCCCAACCGCGGGACUGCAUUGGGAACUGACGGGCUGGAGUGCCGGAGAGGUAGGCGGAAUUCCUAGUGUAGCGGUGAAAUGCGUAGAUAUUAGGAGGAACACCAGUGGCGAAGGCGGCCUACUGGACGGUGACUGACGCUGAGGCUCGAAAGCGUGGGGAGCAAACAGGAUUAGAUACCCGUGUAGUC